rnacentral:rRNA from 1 species
CAGUAGCCGCGGUAAUACAGAGGAUGCAAGCGUUAUCCGGAAUGAUUGGGCGUAAAGCGUCUGUAGGUGGCUUUUCAAGUCCGCCGUCAAAUCCCAGGGCUCAACCCUGACAGGCGGUGGAAACUACCAAGCUGGAGUACGAUAGGGGCAGAGGGAAUUUCCGGUGGAGCGGUGAAACGCGUUGAGAUCGGAAAGAACACCAACGGCAAAAGCACUCUGCUGGGCCGACACUGACACUGAGAGACGAAAGCUAGGGGAGCAAAUGGGAUUAGAUACCCCCGUAGUCCCUGUCUCUUAUACA